UGUGUGUGUGUGCGUAGCGUGCUCUAGGAAACAGCAGUUCUCCAGUAGAGACAGAAACAGAAACAGCAGCAACAGGUCGGGAAGAAUGUCACGACAGCGAGCUGCCUGCCUUCCUGCUGCCUACCUCUUCUCUACCCAAUCACAUCACAUCUUCCGUCAACAGCACAUCGUCUCUCUCUCUCUCUCUCUCUAUCUCUCCUUUUCUCCCUCCCUCUCUCUCCUGCUCUCUCUCUCUUUCCCUCUCUCUCUCCCCUCUGUCUUUCGCUAUAACUCUCAUUCUCUUACACUCUCUCUCCCACUAUCUUCUCCCUCUCUCUCUCGCUCUCUCUCUGAUUUCUCUCUCUUUCCAAUUUUCUCAUCUAUCCCUCUCUCCCACUAUCUUCUCUCUCCUCUCUCUCUUCCCCACCCCUCUCUCUCUUGCCACCUGCUGCUCAGUCAUACCCCAGGCAGAAAGAGGCUCAUGUUGGUAUCGUAUCGUAUGAGAGGUCUGUGAGGAAUGAGGACUGCUCUGUCUUUUCUCCUUUCUGUUAUCAUGUGUUGCCAGUCUCCAUCACCUCCUUUUGUGAUGAGAUUACACCAUCUGGCUACUCACAACAAGCAACAGGUAGCAUGCAGGCUUCUCCCCGUCUGGGCGUGUGUUCACCAUGUGAAGCUAGCUUCCUGCUAUGAGUGUGUUCACCAGGGUCAUAUUCAUUAGUGUACACUGUAGCAAAAUGGAAAACAAAAACAAGCGUUUCUCAUUGGACAAGUCCAGGUAGUCCCCCCCCUGUUUCAGUCCGUUUUCUUCAGUUUGGUGCUAGUGAACACCACCCAUGUGUAGCCUCCACUAUAACCACUCCCCGACUGCUAUGAGUGACAGUGAAAUGCUUCUCAACUCCUUGAUCCUGUCGGAGCAGAAGGCAGCAUUUGCCUUCAUAGGGAUGUUGCUGCUGGUCCUGGGCCUGCUCAUAGUCCGGUGUUUCAGGAUCCUUCUCGACCCCUACAGUAGCAUGCCCUCCUCCAACUGGUCUGACGGGAUAGAGGGGCUGGAGAAAGGGACAUUUGAAUACGCACUGACCUAACAUAGAAGGAUACACACAUCACAUCACAUACAUAGAUUGCAGAGGCACGUAUGCACGUACACAAGCAUGCACACAGGAACGAGUAUGCAUUCAUGCACGCAGAAAACAGACGCACACACCACAGACACAUUAGAUCCCACCCAGACCCUGAAAACUGGAAUGAAUUAACUGAAGUUGAAGCUGUUUCUGUGAGCUUUUACUGAAACUGUCCAGCUCAUUGUCUUAGGUCGGCGUGUCUUUCGUCGUUCGAGGGACUACAGCGUCACGUAGGACUGACGCCACCUAUGGAAAGCCAUUGCUUUCCACAUGGGUAACAUGUGAGUUGGUAUUGAGCCUGGUUAGAGAGGCCACAGAGAACCAUGCCUGUGGCAAGAUGGAGGUCUCAGGGAAAACCACCCAUCUAGUGAUUCAUUUGGAGAAAGAUGAGAACGGACUAAUCCUGAUCCUGAUUCAGACAGGAGUAACAUGGAGGAGAGGAUCCCAUCUUUCACAUGGCUCUGCUCUACACAACACAACAAUGUACGGAUGGAAACAGGGUAAUACAAGGAUACCAUACCAGAGCUAAUCAACCAUCAAAGUGCUGUCUGCCUGUCAUCCUAAUGGAUUGCAGUGUAGUUCAUUUAGGACGGUCCUAUAGAACAAGAUUGUUAUAUAACAGUAAGACUGAUAUUGACUGACCAACAUUGUUCUCAGUUUCAAACUGAUGAUGUUAAUAAUGUUGAUGAUGAUGGCGAAGAUGAGGAGGAGAAGGAGGAUGAUGAUGAUGAUAAUGUUAAUGAUGAUGAUAACAUUGAUGAUGAUGAUGGUGAUGAUAACAUUGAUGAUGAUAAUAAUUAGGAUAACAUUGAUGAUGAUGAUAAUGUUAAUGAUGAUGCUGAUGAUGAUGAUGGUGGUGGCGAUGAUGAUGAUAAUAAUAAUGAUGAUGAUGAUAACAUUGAUGACGAUAAUGAUAAUGAUAAUGAUGGUAAUGAUGAUGACUAGUGCAUUACAUGUGUGUCAUGUUGUUUUGUAAACCUACUGACCUGGCAGAGAGAUACUAUGUCUGAACUGUGAUAUAUCUGGACAUGGUGUACGGAACUGUUUGUAAUCAAUGCAACAAUGGUCUUCAGAGUGAAUACUGUAUGUAUGUACUGUUGAUGAGAGAAGAGAAGAGAAGAGAAGAGAAGAGAAGAGAAGAGAAGAGAAGAGAAGAGAAGAGAAGAGAAGAGAAGAGAAGAGAAGAGGCUGUCAUCUCUGAGACAAAGGUUUUUAACAUUGGGAGAGUCUGUCACUGGCUGUCUGCUGAGGGAAAGGUUACUGGGAAAAUGAUGGCAGAGGAGUGUUUAUCCACACUGCACACGUCUCACCCCUCCUCACCCAUUCUCCCCUGCACAGGAGUCCCUCUCUCACCCCUCCUCCCUUGCACAAGACUACCUCUCUCACCCCUCCUCACGCUUCCUACCCCCUCCUUCCUCUCCUUUAUCUACUCACCCUUCCUCCUCCUCACCCAUACUCACUCCUCCACACCAUCCUCCUCACUCUUCCUCACUCCUCCUAACCCCUAGGAAUGGAGGAGAGAGGCCUCACCCAGACAGAAACAGAAUUUUCAUCUCAGAAUGUUCAUCUCAGUGCUGUGAAUCUGCCUUACUGUGACCUAUGGGUUUACGUGCCUUUGUUUAGAAAUAUUUGCCCGUGUGUGUGUGUCUACAUGCUUCUGUGUGUAUCUGUGUGUGCACGCACGUGUGUGUGUGUGUGAUCAUGCGUGUAUGAGUGCGUGUGUCAUGAUGACUGAUGACGGUGUAUCUACUCACCUGUUGCUCAGAGCCAGAGGAAGAGACAACUCAUUGCUGUUGGAAUAAAUCAUGUCAAAUAAAAACUACUUUAUUUAAACAAA
rnacentral:lncRNA from 1 species